rnacentral:rRNA from 1 species
GGAAGUAAAAGUCGUAACAAGGUAACCGUAGGUGAACCUGCGGUUGGAUCAUUACGAAUCAAACCUCUGCCCGUCGCGCUGGCCAUUCGGCCGCGCUUCGCGGUGGACAAACACCCAUGUGCACCUUUGACGUCUUUUGGCGGUCCCCUCGUAGUCUCGCGCAAGCGAGGCGUCGUUGUGCGUGAAGGUAACUCUUUGCGCUCUUGGGCCGCCAGCAGUUGAAAAACACCUAGUAUUUUAUUUGCCUGAAACCAAAAGAGAAGCAAUGAGAAACAACUUUACACAACGGAUCUCUAGGCUCUCGCAACGAUGAAGAACGCAGCGAAAUGCGAUACGUAAUGUGAAUUGCAGAACCCGUGAAUCAUCAAAUCUUUGAACGCACAUUGCGCCCCCUGGCAUUCCGGGGGGCAUGUCUGUUUGAGAACCUUGACGUCCCUCACCCCCCCCUCUUGUGCCCACAGCACUAGGCGGGGAGGUGGAUGUGGGCCGACCUCUCGCUAGUCGCGGGGCGGCCUGAAAGUCAAGAUUGGCAUCGCCGCGGGUCCAACCUCCGCAGCGCCGCACAACAAGACGUGCCAGUGAGAAGUCUCUCAUUUAGCGUCGGACCGUGUGGUUUGCGGACCAAGGGUUAGAACCAUCGCUCAGUCUCUGAGUGAGGCUUUGUCAACUCCCUCGUCGCCAGGCGAUACGCUUCACCGCGUGUCGCAUACCUGAACACCUGGUCUCAAAUCAGACAAGACGACCCGCUGAACUUAAGCAUAUCAAUAAGCGGAGGA